rnacentral:rRNA from 1 species
GACGAACGCUGGCGGCGUGCCUAAUACAUGCAAGUAGAACGCUGAAGAGAGGAGCUUGCUCUUCUUGGAUGAGUUGCGAACGGGUGAGUAACGCGUAGGUAACCUGCCUUGUAGCGGGGGAUAACUAUUGGAAACGAUAGCUAAUACCGCAUAACAAUGGAUGACCCAUGUCAUUUAUUUGAAAGGGGCAAAUGCUCCACUACAAGAUGGACCUGCGUUGUAUUAGCUAGUAGGUGAGGUAACGGCUCACCUAGGCGACGAUACAUAGCCGACCUGAGAGGGUGAUCGGCCACACUGGGACUGAGACACGGCCCAGACUCCUACGGGAGGCAGCAGUAGGGAAUCUUCGGCAAUGGGGGCAACCCUGACCGAGCAACGCCGCAUGAGUGAAGAAGGUUUUCGGAUCGUAAAGCUCUGUUGUAAGUCAAGAACGAGUGUGAGAGUGGAAAGUUCACACUGUGACGGUAGCUUACCAGAAAGGGACGGCUAACUACGUGCCAGCAGCCGCGGUAAUACGUAGGUCCCGAGCGUUGUCCGGAUUUAUUGGGCGUAAAGCGAGCGCAGGCGGUUUGAUAAGUCUGAAGUUAAAGGCUGUGGCUCAACCAUAGUUCGCUUUGGAAACUGUCAAACUUGAGUGCAGAAGGGGAGAGUGGAAUUCCAUGUGUAGCGGUGAAAUGCGUAGAUAUAUGGAGGAACACCGGUGGCGAAAGCGGCUCUCUGGUCUGUAACUGACGCUGAGGCUCGAAAGCGUGGGGAGCGAACAGG